AAAUGCUAUCCCAAAUGCUAUUCCUGUCUGCAUCCCUGAACCCAUACCCAAAGCCAACCUCAUCCUCUCCCAUACCAGUCAUCAGGAAGAGGAAGACACUGGCCCAGGUCAGGUAGAAGCUGAGUGCCAGCUGGUAGGUCAUGCCUUCCUGCAGGUACCUGUGGGCCUGCAGCAGGUAGAACAGGAUACCCAGUACGAUGCUGGUUCCUGCAUGAGCACAGGUGUUAGGAGGCUGAGAAUCAGAUAUGUAAGGACUCCUUCCCAUAGUCAUGUGGCUGCCUGGCUCUGGCUCAUUAUUUCCCCACUUUCUUUAACCUCCCAGACCCUGUACCUUUGCUCCUAAGCAUGAAGAUGGGCUUCUGACCAAGUCCUGCUAGAGGACACUGAAAGGGCAAGCCUUGGGCUUUAACCAGGCAAUGUUCUCAUCCAUAUGAGCAAGGGCUUCAUGUUACUGGCCGUGGCCCUGUGCUGAGUCCUCCUCCCGCCCAUGGCCCUCUCCUCCUGGCCAGUGGUCCUCCGCCUGAACAUGGCCGACUUUGUCUUCAGUUUCCUCUGCCUCGGCAUUGGGCUCCUGAUUUCUCUUCAGCCUGACGCUCUUUUCAGUUAACGGCAAGGCGGUGCACCCAAGUCCGGUGGUGUCCUACCUGGUGACCUCCUACCUGUGCUGGGACGCCAGCGACUUGAUGCUGCACUCCGCCAUCUCCCAGGAGCCGUGUCCUACCUAAGCCCAGUGGGCAUGUGAAGCAGAGGGCAGCCCUUGAAUGCGCGGCGGCUGAGCUACCGCGGGUGGGCCGUGCAGCAGGGCGCAGCGAGGCGGACAUCCAAACAGCGGAACUCAGACGCUGACUCCGAGCGCACCCCGGGCCUUCCCAUUUCAUACACCCUCGAGGAUGAGACCCAAGCACCUCCAAGGAAUAGCACCCGAGGUCUUCAGGACACCGACCGGUAGCCAUGGCCAGAUGCCCGGCCAACCCCUUCAGCGUGGCCACGCCCUGGAUAUUCGACCUCCCCUGAGGCCCCACCCCCUGAUAUCAGGCCACGCCCUCCGAGGGGACCGGUGGCAAACUCCAGCCCUCGCUCUAGGGCCCGCCCUUUGCGGCUUUGUCCCUGCCCACUGGGUCCUCACAGUACCUCCACCCCAGAGGCCCAGCAUCCCCUCCCGUUCUGCAGACACUUGUCCAGCGUCCCGCUGAGCUCGGCAGUGUGGCUAGUUUGUGUGGCCCUGCCCCUGGUGCCCAGCCAGGGUGGUCUGCAUGGAACUUCUUUCCCGGAGUUCCGGCCUCAGCUCCGAUGUCCACCCUUGUCCCCAGGUGGACACAGCACCGCCCAGCAUUUGGUGCAACUCCACCCUUCUGCAGAACGGGCCCCUCCCUGGGAAGGCAUGGCUUGCAAUAACAUCCCUCUGUACCUUUUCUGGCUUCCCCGCCACAAUAAAACCUCUCAGCCUCAGACCUUCCAUUGCCCCCCACCUCCCCACCAGGGCAGGGUCCAUCCUAGUGUGAGUGAACUGUUCUGGCGUCCCUGACUUGCCCUUUGGGA
rnacentral:lncRNA from 10 species